AACAAACGCUGGCGGCGUGCCUAAUACAUGCAAGUCGAACGGGGAAAGCUUUCGGGUGAGUACUAGUGGCGCACGGGUGAGUAACGCGUGGAUAAUCUGCCUUAGAGUGGGGGAUAACUAGUCGAAAGAUUAGCUAAUACCGCAUAAGACCACAAGAACUGCGGUUCAAGGGGUCAAAGGUUUUUCGCUCUAAGAUGAGUCCGCGUAAGAUUAGCUAGUUGGGAGGGUAACGGCCUACCAAGGCGACGAUCUUUAACUGGUCUGAGAGGAUGAUCAGUCACACUGGAACUAAGACACGGUCCAGACUCCUACGGGAGGCAGCAGUAGGGAAUACUGCACAAUGGAGGAAACUCUGAUGCAGCGACGCCGCGUGAGUGAUGAAGGCCUUCGGGUCGUAAAGCUCUGUCGCAGGGGAAUAACACAAUGAAGGUACCCUGUAAGAAAGGAUCGGCUAACUUCGUGCCAGCCGCCGCCGUAAUAC
rnacentral:rRNA from 1 species